rnacentral:rRNA from 1 species
GAUGAACGCUGGCGGCGUGCCUAACACAUGCAAGUCGAGCGAAGCGCUGUUUUCAGAAUCUUCGGAGGAAGAGGACAGUGACUGAGCGGCGGACGGGUGAGUAACGCGUGGGCAACCUGCCUCAUACAGGGGGAUAACAGUUAGAAAUGACUGCUAAUACCGCAUAAGCGCACAGGACCGCAUGGUGUAGUGUGAAAAACUCCGGUGGUAUGAGAUGGACCCGCGUCUGAUUAGGUAGUUGGUGGGGUAAAGGCCUACCAAGCCGACGAUCAGUAGCCGACCUGAGAGGGUGACCGGCCACAUUGGGACUGAGACACGGCCCAAACUCCUACGGGAGGCAGCAGUGGGGAAUAUUGCACAAUGGGGGAAACCCUGAUGCAGCGACGCCGCGUGAAGGAAGAAGUAUUUCGGUAUGUAAACUUCUAUCAGCAGGGAAGAAGAUGACGGUACCUGAGUAAGAAGCACCGGCUAA